rnacentral:rRNA from 1 species
CCUACGGGAGGCAGCAGUGGGGGAUAUUGGACAAUGAGGGGAACCCUGAUCCAGCGACGCCGCGUGAGUGAAGAAGUAUUUCGGUAUGUAAAGCUCUGUCAGCAGGGAAGAAAGCAAUGACGGUACCUGACCAAGAAGCCCCGGCUAACUACGUGCAAGCAGCCGCGGUAAUACGUAGGAGGCACGGGUGAUCCGGAAUUGCUGGGAGAAAAGGGGGCGUAGACGGCUGUGAAAGUCUGCGGUAAAAGGCGGGGACCAACCCCCGGACUGCUAUGGAAACUGGAUGGCUGGAGUGCAGGAGAGGUAAGCGGAAUUCCUAGUGUAGCGGUGAAAUGCGUAGAUAUUAGGAGGAACACCAGUGGCGAAGGCGGCUUACUGGACUGUAACUGACGGUGAGGCUCGAAAGCGUGGGGAGCAAACAGGAUUAGAUACCCGGGUAGUC